rnacentral:lncRNA from 1 species
GGUGACCUCCUUGCCGAUGACUGUGGAGGUGGACAAAAUGGCAAUAAUGCUCAAUUCAUCCCACAUGCAAAUUAAAAAAACAUAAGGCCAAGGAAGUAGGAGUAGUUGAUGACCAUGGCCGCCAGUUUAUUGGAUCAUAUGUAGUACAUAACAAUGAUAAUUAGACAACAAUAUUUAGAAAGCAGAGGGAUCAAAUAUUAAAAUGAAUCGUUGUCGUACGAGCGAAU